CAGUCGCCGCGGGAAUAUGUAGGUGGCAAGCGUUGUCCGGAAUUAUUGGGCGUAAAGGGCUCGCAGGCGGUUUCUUAAGUCUGAUGUGAAAGCCCCCGGCUCAACCGGGGAGGGUCAUCGGAAACUGGGAAACUUGAGUGCAGAAGAGGAGAGUGGAAUUCCACGUGUAGCGGUGAAAUGCGUAGAGAUGUGGAGGAACACCAGUGGCGAAGGCGACUCUCUGGUCUGUAACUGACGCUGAGGAGCGAAAGCGUGGGGAGCGAACAGGAUUAGAGACCCGGGUAGUCCCUGUCUCUUAUAC
rnacentral:rRNA from 1 species